CGGGUUAAAGCCCUGUAAACUGCUUGACGGGCGAACACCUUACACUCGUGUAAUUAAAGGGAUCAGCGAAGGAUUCUAAGUUCUCAUCUCCAGAGGUAAAUCAUGCUGGUGUAAUGACACCUGUCAAUCCAGGAUGACAUGUAAAUUAGAGGAUAAUGAGAUGGAAAUGAUUCACGGUGCCUCUAUUACCUCCAACACCUACAACGCCGGAAAUCAGGCAACACCAGGAGAAAGACACAGAAACAACUCUCUCAUCCCAAGAAUCUAUCUGAUGAAACUUCUCUGCACCUCUUUGAAGGCAAAUAACCCUUCCUUAGGUAAGGAGCUACAGACGUCACAUAGCAGAUGCAGACGAGUUGCAGUGAACGUGUGAG